UACAUUUAUUCUCCUCGUGGGCUUUUUUUUUUCAAUUUUUUUCCAUAUGUAAUCUCAGCAUUAUCAUUAAAAUUCAAGAAAACUUUGUCUGGCUUCAUAAAAAACUUAAUUAUGAAACACUCAUAGGUUAGACCACCCUCUACUUAGAGUAAAAGAUUAGAUUCAAAAACUCUUUUCUGGGGAUCAAGAGAUAAUUGAUGGGAGAGGCUGUGAUCGAGUAAACACAACGUCAGAACUCAAAAGAUUGCAGACCGUAAUCAGGUUCAUACAGCGUCUUAGGUGCUUUGUGCUUUAACCUACUACAGCAGUGUCCCCCAUUUGAGGUCUUUCUCUGCCUCUCCUUCCAGCCCCUUACUCUUGACCCCUGCUGUCCAGUAGUGAGUGGACAUCUAAUGAAAAAAUGUGAGGAGUAUGUGCUUAUAGAAACAUCUGAGCAGCAAAUGAUGCCUCAUUUGCUUAUAGAAACAUCUGCACAGUGAAUGAUAGACCUCAUUUGCUCCAACCUGGGUGUGUGAAAAUAUUCCAGAAUAUGCAGGCAACGUGUUGGAGAAAAGCCUGCCCGUGUCUCACCAGUUCAGGAAAUUGCUUUCUAUUUCUCUUGAUAACCAAUCUACUCAUUUGAAAGAGUUCAUUCUUCCCAGCGUUCACUGCAGCACCUGUUAUACUUUCGGGUAAUAACGAGGUGAGAGGUUUUUGGUAAAGAAAGCUAGGCUUCUUUCUCACUUGGUAAAUUAGAAAUUCUCUGAGACACGUAAAGUAGAAGCAACAAAACGAACAAAGGUCAGAAAGCUUUUUGUGACGGUCUUGUGUAAAUUUCAGCAAAUCAUGAGACAAGGAAAAAGCUUGCAUCUGUUCUAUGGUAGGCAGUAUUUGAGGAAAUACUAAGUAACAGUGGCCAGCCACGCCCCUAGGCAGUGUUUCAAGAAAUACUAUGUAACAGUGGCCAGCCACGCCCCUAGGCAGUGUUUGAAGAAAUACUAUGUAACAGUGGCCAGCCACGCCCCUAGGCAGUGUUUGAGGAAAUAAUUAUGUAACAGUGCCCAGCUGUGCCACCGGAACCUGCAUGGAAAAGGGUGCAAGACGUAUGUGGGAAAGCUCUGGGGACACUCCUGGAUGUCUGCAACUGGUUUCUAAACUCGAUAUUACAGCUAUUCAUGCAACCGCAUCACAGGCGACUCUAAGCGAGCUUGCUCUUUAAGGCCUGGACUCUAACACCCAGGGACUCUGCAGCUCUUCCGAGAGUUCUGAGGCGUUCUCUCUCGGCGUAUAGAAUGUCAGCCACAAAAGGAAACGUAAGUGGCAGUUUGGAGAAGGGUCUCUUGAUGUGACCCCCAAUGACCUCAAACUGAAAAUCCACAGGCCUUUGCUUCACAAGUGCUGGGGUAACAGAGCUACUGCUGGAUUCUACUCUGUCCCGAGCCGCUGAUGCCACGCCACAGUUUUCCCUCAAGGUUGCUUCCUACUCGUCAAUGGCAGCCUCAUCCAGUCUCGAGGUAAUUAACUGUCACUUCCAACAUGGCGACCCCCGGGCUUCACUUUUUCUCUGGUUCCACUGCAGAUUACUGCAUUGCUUAUUUCCCCAGUAAGCUUCACCAUUUCUCACACGGGGGACCGUGAUCCCAUCCAGUUUCCCUUUCGAAUUAACUUGUGGUGUUUGACCUUGACUUGGGUUCACAUGGGAGAGGUUUUCAAAAUGGCUGGUAUUCCUUUAUGCAGUCCAGGUUGGAAACUAUGGCUCUAGCUACUCAGACUAAGCUUCUUUUCCUGGGAUUUUUGAGUGCUGACACAAGCUGCUUUCUACUUAUUAUCAAAGAGGGCAUUUUGUUUUGCCCUCCAUUAGGCUGAAAAAGGUAUGAAAAAUAUACAAAUAUUUUUGCUCAGCCACAGAGGAGUCUGCAGAACAGCACAUAAUUUAUCACGAUUAAGUAUGCCUCAGCUGGAAAUGAAGCCAGCUCGUCUCCCAGAAAACAGUUCAGAAACCCUCCACCUGGGAUGUUGAAAGCCUCAUCAUGUGAUCAACAUCCCUGUGACAUUUUUAUUCUCUUGGCCCAAAUCGGUAACUAACAACACGAGUGUAGUUAUUGUGAAUUGGAUAUGGCACAUAUCAUUUAUUUCUAAUGUAUUUUGAAAUAGAAAUAAAAAAAAUCCACCAUGAAUAUGGGGGAGUAACAUCUACUGCAUAUAAAUUUAAUGUAUUUUCCAAGCUGUGGUCUUGAUUAUUUCUUCUGGGGAAAGAAAAAAAAUGUAAUACACUUAUUAUUUUUUGGUGUUAAGCGGGUACAUAAAUUCAGGUCACAAGAAUGCAGUAAUGAAACUGUCAGUACUGUCACCCAUGCAGUCCCCAUAGGAUCAGGACAGAAGUCAGGAGUAGGCAGUUUGCCUCCUACAACAACCUGAGCUGGGACCUGGGAGCCACGCUGGGUGCAGAGGAAGAAGGAAACACUUAAAGUGAGGAGAUCUGAGGAGAUCGGCAAGUCCCUGAGAACCUAAGUUACAACGUUUACCACACCCAUGGAGGCAAUGCAUUAUACAGACAGCCUGGCCCUGGCUGGCAGGGACCUCUUCUCUCUGCAGGCUCCAUGUAAAGGCACCUGUGGGUUCUGGUGAAACCAAGAAAAGUCAUAUACCACUUUCCCUGCUUCCCUUCUCCCUCUUGCUCUGCUCCAGGCCCUGCUUGCUCUGCUCCGGGCCCCACUUGCUCCAGCCCAUAGGUUUUGUUUUUUGUUUUUAAUUUUUUGUUUAUUUGUUUCUCAUUACAGAUGGUUGUGAGCCACCAUGUAGUUGUUAGGAUUUGAACUCAUGACCUCUGGAAGAGCAGUCAGUGCUCUUAACCCCUGAGCCAUCUCACCAGCCCCAUACGCCACUUUUUAUUUGAGGAUUUUGGGGAUUACAAGAGUUAAAUCCUUUGAGUCUCUAAGCUAAUUCCUUUUUUUUUUUUUGGCUAAGGUUUAAUAUAUGGGAUGGAAAUUUAGCAACUUAAAGCAAGUUUUGGGGUCUUAGAUUAGAGCUGAAAGGAAACAAUACAAACGGCUGUCACUGUGUAAGCAUCCCAAUGUCUGCCAGAGCUCCUGAAGGGGGCGGUGAGGCAAGGGCAGGCCGCGGCUUCUGGGAGCUGUAGUUUGAUGUUAAGAACCUCUUGCUUUUAAUCUCUGUUCUAACCUUGGUCUCUUCUUGAAGGCAGUUUCAAAAUUUACAUGAAAUCCACAGUGACAUUUACUCAUAUUAGUCAAAAAGUGGGAGCAACCCAGAUCUGGAUAGACAGGCGAACGGAGAGGCACGGUGUGCUACAGACACGCCAAGGAAUAUUCCUCAGCCAUACAGAGGAAGGCCAUUCGGUGGAUGAGCCCUGGAGACACCCCUCCAAGCAAAGCAAGCCACACACCUUAGACCAUUUAGAUGAGAUCCCUAGGUUAGACCACCUCAUAAAUGCAGAACAGCAGGGCCUCAGGGACGCAGCUGCUGUCUGAUGGCUACAACGUUUCCGCUUGGGAACAGCUAGGAUCGAUCUGCAGUGCGGUGGAUACAUUUAACUUUUACCCCACACCCAAAGAUAGUGAACUGCAUGUCUGUAUUGCACCAUAAAAGAAAAAUAACUGGGGAUGGAGAGAUGGCUCAGUUGGUGAGAGCUCUGGCUGCUCUUCCAGAGGACCCAGGUUCAAUUUCCAGCACCCACAUUGCAGCUCCUAACUGUCUGGAACUCCAGUUCCAGGGAAUCCCACACCUCACACAGACAUACAAGACACCAAUGCGAAUUUAAAACAAACAAACAAACAAACAAACAAACAUAAUAAAUCAUUAAAAGCUUAAAAAAAGAGAGAGAAAAUAACCAGGGAGCCCAUAGGGUACAAAUGCAAGGUUUAGAAGCCAGCAGCUGUUGGGAUAAAAGAGACUUCAAAAAAGAUGACAAAUUAGAUUAUGCAAUGCAGCCCUUCUGGUCUGGGUCAGUGCCCUGUGCAGACCCUGGGCAUGAACUCCGCAGCCAGUCCCACAACACCCAUUGGAAGCUCUACUCCCAGGAGUCCUAACACACCUAGGAUCAUAGGAUCAGAGGCAAGGAGGACACAACAUCUGCCCCAACACCGGGAGUUACUGGGACCAGUAGGACCCAGGCACCCAGGAAUUCCACCUGAACAGAGGCACAGGUUCCAUCAGGUCUGAGCAGACCUGGGCGCAAACUUCACAGCCAGUCCCACAACACUCAGAAGAAGUUCCACUCCCAGGAGCUCUAACAUGCCCAGGUUCACAGGAUCCCAGAACCCAAGGAGCUUGGUCACAACAGAUCUCAGGGUCCCAGAGGCAGCUUGACUCCCAGGAGCUCUGACACACCUAGGAUCUCAGGAUCACAGGAUUCCAGAAUCACAGGAUGACAAAGAUAGCUGAAGUCUGAGGAGUUCUGACACAGCCAGGAUCACAGAAAGGAUAGAGAGGGCAGGCAGCACUAGAGAUAAUCAGAUGGCAGGAGGCAAGCAUAAGAACAUAAGCAACCGAAACCAAGGUUACUUGUCAUCAUCAGAACCCAAGUCUCCUACCAUGGUAAGUCCUGGAUAUAUGAUCAUACAGAAAAGCAAGAUUGGAUUGAAAGUCACUUCUCACGAUGGUGCUAGAGGACUUUAAGAAGGACAUAAAUAGCUCGCUUAAAGAAAUACAAGAGAACACAGGUAAACAGAAGCCCUUAAAGAGGAAACACAAAAAUUCCUUAAAGAAUUACAGGAAAACAUAAUUAAACAGGCAAAAGAAAUGAACAAAACCAUCUAAGAUCUAAAAAUAGAAAUAGAAACAAUAAAGAAAUCACAAAGGGAUUAACCCUGGAGUUAAAAACCUAGGAAAGAGAUCAGGAGUCAUAGAUGCAAGCAUCAUCAACAGAAUACAAGAGAUAGAAGAGAGAAUCUCAGGUGCAGAAGAUACCAUAGAAAACAUUGACACAAAAGUCAAAGAAAAUGCAAAAGGCAAAAAAGCUCCUAACCCAAAACACCCAGGAAAUUCAGGACACAACGAGAAGACCAAACCUAAGGAUAAUAGGUAUAGAAGAGAGCAAAGAUUCCCAACUUAAAGGGGCAGUUAAUAUCUUCAACAAAAUUAUAGAAGAAAACUUCCCUAACCUAAAGAAAGAGAUGCCCAUGAACAUACAAGAAGCCUACAGAACUCCAAAUAGACUGGGCCAGAAAAGAAAUUCCUCCCAUCACAUAAUAAUCAAAACACCAAAUGCACUAAAGAAAAAAAGAAUAUUAAAAGCAGUAAGGGAAAAAGGUCAAGUAACAUAUAAAGGCAGGCCUAUCAGAAUUACACCAGACUUCUCAAUAGAGACUAUGAAAUCUAGAAGAUCCUGGGCAGAUGUCAUACAGACCCUAAGAGAACACAAAUGCCAGCCCAGGUUACUAUACCCAGCAAAAUCUCAAUUACCAUAGAUGGAGAAAACAAGAUAUUCCAUGACAAAACCAAAUUUACACAAUAUCUUUCCAUAAAUCCAGCCCUACAAAGGAUAACAGAUGGAAAACACCAACACAAGAAGGGAACUACACCCUAGAAAAAGCAAGAAAGUAAUCUUUCAACAAACCCGAAAGAAGAUAGCCACACAAACAUAAUUCCACCUCUAACAACAAAAAUAACAGGAAGUAACAAUCAUUUUUCCUUAAUAUCUCUUAACAUCAAUGGACUCAGUUUCCAAAAAAGGACAUAGACUAACAGACUGGAUAUGUAAAUAGGACCCAGCUUUUUGUUGCAUACAGGAAACUUACCUCAGUGACAAAAGCAGACACUAUGUCAGAGUAAAAAGGUUGGAAUACAAUUCUCCAAGCAAAUGGUCCCAAGAAACAAGCUGGAGUAGCCAUUCUAAUAUCGAAUAAAAUCAACUCUCAACCAAAAGUUAUCAAAAAAAAAAAAAAAAAAGAUAAGGAAAAACACUUCAUACCGGUCAAAGGAAAAAAAAAUCUACCAAGAUCUCUCAAUUCGCAACAUCUAUGCUCCAAAUCAAGGGCAUCCAGAUUUAUAAAAGAAACGCUAAUAAAGCUCAAAGCACACAUUGCACCCCACACAAUAAUAGUGGGAGACUUCAACACCCCACUCUCAGCAAUGGACAGUUCCUGGAAACAGAAACUAAACAGAGACACAGUGAAACUAACAGAAGUUAUGAACCAAAUGGAUCUAACAGGUAUUUAUAGAACAUUUCAUCCUGAAGCAAAAGAAUAUACCUUCUUCUCAGCACCUCAUGGUACCUUCUCCAAAACUGACCAUAUAAUCAGUCACAAAACAGGCCUCAACAGAUACAAGAAGACUGAAAUAAUCCCACGCAGCCUAUCAGAUCACCACGGACUAAGGCUGGUUUUAAAUACCAACAAAAACAACAGAAAGCACACAUAUACAUGGAAGCUGAACAAUGCUCUACUCAAUGAUAACUUGGUCAAGGAAGAAAUAAAGAAAGAAAUUAAAGCCUUUUUAGAAUUUAAUGAAAAUGAAGACACAUCAUACCAAAACCUAUGGGACACAAUGAAAGCAGUGCUAAGAGGGAAACUCAUAGCUCUAAGUGCCUCCAAAAACAAACUGGAGAGAGCUUACACUAGUAGCUUGAUAGCACACCUGAAAGCUCUAGAACAAAAAGAAGCAAAUACACCCAAGAGGAGUAGAUGGCAGGAAAUAAUCAAACCAAAUAGAAACAAAAGAACUAUACAAAGAACGAACAAAACCAGGAGCUGGUUCUUUGAGAAAAUCAACAAGUUGGAUAAACCCUUAGCCAGACUAACCAGAGGGCACAGAGACAGUAUUCAAAUCAAUAAAAUCAGAAAUGAAAAGGGAGACAUAACAAUGAAGUAUAUCUUAAAAUAACUAUUCUGCUUGUUGAAUAUUAACAGUUGAAAAUAUUAAAAUCACAUUCUACAAACAUCAUGGAAAUAUUAUUGAUAAUUUUUGUCAGUGUGCUUAAAAUUAGCAUUCUCUUAAUGUUUAACUUCAAAGAAUUUUUGCUAUUUUGAAAUUUUAAAAAUAUACUUACUGAUAAAAUAAUUCCUCUCCUAGAAACACUGAUAAUUUUUUUUAAGUAAACUGAUUGUUAGACAAUGUACACAGAUAUAUAAUGUGUUUUAAAUCUUCUUAUGUCAGGUGGUAUCAUAGAAGGGCUUUUGAACCUAUUUCUUAGUGAUUCAUUUUUAAUGUUUUAUGUUCUUUUCCUAUGCUUAACUCCUAAAGAAUAGUAUGUUUUGAAACAAUUUAGUAUUCAACGUCAGAUAUAGGAUCCUCAGCUAUGGAUAGUAUUAUUAAUGUUUGAUGUAUAAGAUGCAUUUAAAUCAUAAAAAUUAAGAAAAGAAUUAUGCAAUGCAAAUGUAUGACGCACUACUGUACACAUGGAUCAGAAUGAAAGAGCUAUUGUUGAUGUUCCGCUGUAGCUGCAAAUUCAGUUCAUCUCCACCAAGGCCUCAGUCCUACAGUGGAUGCCUAGAGGUCUCCUGGUGGGUGCACAGAGGGCUUGUGUGCCUACAGGAGCUCAGCUCUGCUACAAGCAGCCCACCUACUCUCCGGAAUGCAGUUAGCAUGGCAGAAUCUAUGGUUGCCGCCCACACACUGAUUAACGUGUGCUCUUAGUCUGGCAAUUCAUGGUCCUUUAGCCAUGCUGGACAUAAAGAUGGAUCUUUUAUUCCCUACAUGUCAGGAAAAUCAGUUCUUAGUUUGGAUUUCUUCUAAGCUGGGUUUUGUUCCCGCAAUCUAAGACCUCAUGCGGUCAGGGGAAAGCAGCUCACAUCCAAUCUUGGUCAUGCGUGCAGAACUCUUCCUAGCACCUCAGGGCUCUUUUGCCAGGGUCUCAACUUCACAGUGCCACAGGGUGAUGAUAGACAGCUCUAUGAACACUUGUGCAAAAGAUGCUACAAAGCUGGAGCUACCUGGGGAAAAGCCCAAAUGGCCACUGCCCCCUCAUAGUGGUUCUUCUGUGGCACACUUUGCUAAAUGGCCAUCUGCCAGGAUACAAAUAAGCGACCACAAGACAGAAAUUUCUCCUUAGGCAUAAAGGCAUGGCAAGGAAAACUUCUGGUGACCACACACAUGAAGGAACUCUAAAAGCAGGCACACAUGUAUGUCUGAGUUCCAGAGCCCAUUUCCAGUAUCAAGGCAUUGAUGGGGGAUGUUUUUGUGCACUGUGCAUUCAAAUGCUGAUUUCUAGACCCAGACAGCUGGUUGUAGUCCAGACUUUGUUGUGACUCAGUGUUUUGAGAAAUGUUGUUCUUCAUCACCUCCUGAUUGGCUAAAUAAAGAGCUGGAUAGCCCAUAGCUGGGCAGGAGAGCAGAAGGUGGGACUUCCAGCCAGAGAGACAGGGACUCAGGUGGGAUAAUGAAGGAGGUGCCAGAGAGCAAGACAAAGAUGGCAGGUAAUGGGCCACGUGCCUGGAAGUGGUCUACGGCCAACACUGUCAGGUUAGACUAGCUCUGAAUCUGCCCAGCUAUAAUUCUAGAAGCUUAUUGAUAAAUAUAAAGGUCUCUGUCAUUAUCGGGGGCAAAGAGUGGACAUAGAAAAUCCUGUACUUUUAUAUGGUACGCUUCAGUUCAUACUACCUGAAGCAAGGCAUGGAUCAGCUGUGUGUGUGUGUGUGUGUGUGUGAGAGAGAGUAAAAGGGAAAGAGAAAGCAGAGGUGUGUGCUAAUACAGUUAGGAAGAUCUCCGCCACACCCUCACCCAACUUACUUAGCUUCCCCAGGUCAGAGCUAAACAUGCCAUGACAACCUCUAUGACCAGCUGUGAACGGGCUGACUCCCGUGAGCAAAGCCCCUGCUUUCUCUUCUUGUUAAACAGCAGCACUUAAAAUAAGCUAGCAUUUCUUACAAACAAGUGAUACAUCAUCCCUGAUCUGCUAUCCUAUCAUCCUGAGCACCGAAGAGAAACUGAGUCUUCAUUAAUGGACUGAAGUUGGGUACCCUGGGGUUGAAUUAGGGAAAGGCUGGAAGAAGCCAAGGAAGAGGGCAACCCUAUAGGAAGACCAGCAGUCUCAACUAACCCAGACCCGUAGAUCUCUCAGACACUCAGACACUCAGCCACCAACCAGCAGCAUACACUAACUGGUACGAGGCCCCCAACACAUAUGCAGCAGAACACUGCCUGGUCUGGCCUCAGUGAGAGAAGAGGCACCUAAUUCUUGAGAGAAUUGAGGCUCCAGGGAGUGAGCGGUCUGGUGGGGUGUGGGGGUGGGGUGGGGACAUCCUCUUGGAGACAGGGGGAGGAGGAAUGGGAUGAGAAACUGUGGGAGUGCAGAAUGGGAGGGGGAUAACAACUGCACUGUAAAAAAAAAAGAUUAAAGAUAAUAAAAAAAGAGAAAGAAAAAGAAAGUGUUAGGAAGCUUUGCUCUCAGAUAUUUGGUAUUUUCAUAGAUCAAGGAAAUCCUAAGAACACAAUUCUAUGACAUCAACUAGAAAGGUGCAAUCAGAGAGCAAGCUCCAGUGUAUGUCAGAAAAAGCAGACAAUUUCUAACAGCCGUAACAUACAGUGUCCAGGAGAGUUCAAAAGCCAUGGGGCUGGAAGAACAGCUGAGGGGGGUGGGGCUGGGGGGCGUGUAAGAGAACUUACUGCUCUUGCAGAGGACCUGAGUUCAGGUCUCAGGUGGCUUGCUCUGCAUUCACAUACACAGAGCCGCAGACACAGAUGAAGCGCACACACACACACACACACACACACACACGACAUUCAAAGUUUUUUUUUCCUCAUGACACAUCUAAGAGCUUACAAUAGAUACACGCACAAAGAAACACAACAACUCUCCAGAGUCAAUACAAAUGUGUAAAAGUAGGAUUUGUUACAUAAAACAGAAGCCACCAUAUGACCGGUAAAAACCAUAUUAAAAGUAUAAACUCACAAAAGAAGCAUGCCACGAUAUAAUCUAACUUACAAGGUUAUUAAGCUAAAACCACCUAUCACAUAACUUACCUAUUAAAUGAUAAGUUUAAUGAACUUAAUAUGUCAGUGUUACCCACCAUCUUCAUCAGUUUUAGAAUAGCUCCAUUAUUUUAAAAAGAAACUUCCUAUUGAUUGGCUGCCAUGUGCUGUAAUGCGUCUUUACUGAGAGCUCGUGGGAAUGGUACACCCAUACAAUGGGUUAUUAUUUUCCAAUAAGAUAGGACGAAUGCCUGAUCAUGAUGCAUGCUAAGUGGGAGCUCCAGUUCUAAGCAUCACAGGUUGUAUGAUCUGCUUAUGUGAAAUGUGCAGAAAAGGCAAGACUAUAAAGACAGGCACUAGUGGUUGCCAGCGCUCUGGGUUGCCACGGCUAGAGUUGAAUGGAAAGUGAUUGCUAGAGUUUGCUAAUUUUUUCCCCCUGGGAUAACGAAAAUGUCCUAAAAUCACUCAUGAUAAUGGUUGUACAGUCCUGUGAGUGGACUAAAACCUUGUGCCCUGUCCUCUUCAGUAGAUGGCCCAUGUACUUGUGAGACGUGCUACGUAAAGCUGCGUUUGGAAGUCUGUAUUACGUAUAUCAGUACUAUGUGAAGACGUGGGGAACUCCUGGAAAGAGUUACCAUUCUUUCUGUGUAGAGGACCGGCGGAUGUUCUUAGUACAUUUUAUAAUUUCCAGCGGUGACCACCGUCAUCACAUGAUAAAAGCUGGCUGUAAAAAGCGUGGAUUGCCUACUUGACUGGUCUGAGGAAUUGCUGACUUUAAGGCAUAGCAGCAGUGUCCGGGUUACCUCACACGUUAACAUACAACACGAUCAUGUUAAUCACACGCGAAAUGUUUCUCAGUGGUGUCCACGAUCCUCUGGACAGUAGGAUUAUGAGGGAUGCUAUUUUGUUCUACAUGCUUCUAAACACUUUCCACCGCUUUGAAAUGACCCACCUACUGUGUAGAGAUAAGAACUCUGAGAGGAAAAAGUCAAUUUCUAAGCUCCCACUGUCAGGUACACACAGACACGUGACAUUAGGUCACAGGGAGAGCAGCUGGGGCCAGCAGCUAGCUCAACCGAGCGACGGCAAUUGUUAAAGCUGGGCCAUUAAUUAUAGGGAGGUCCCUGGGUUACUGUCUCCUGGAGAUAUCAUGAGGGACCCCACAAGCUGUCAGGACAGAAUAGCUCCUGACAGGUUUCAAAGCACUGUGUGCACAUGAACGCACAAAUACCCAGAAGGAACAUAUCAUUGCUUCUCUUUGGGCGGUGGCUUACAGGGGACAGUAUUUUGUCCUGUGUGCCUUUUGUGUACUUUUAGUUUUCUCUGUGACAAAACAAAACAAAACAAAACAAAAAACCCAAAAACCAAAAACAAACAGAAAAAAAACCUGCUAUAAAAUUGUUUUCUUAUGUCCAAGAAGUCACAAUAAUAAUAAUAAUAAUAAUAAUAAUAAUGAUAAUAAUGAUGAUGAUAAUGAGUAGUUAUACAAAAGAAAGUGCAAAUGUUUUCUGUGGACCCACGACUAGACCAGGAAAAAUCUAUGCUUUACUUGAAUAAUUGCUAGGCUGUCUACCCCAGGAAUCCAGAGCCACGACGCAUGGCUCUGCUGCCAGCUGCCCAAACUGUGGGUGUGACCUGGAACACUCACAAUGUCAUUCAGAAAGUAGCCAGUGGGGAGGGGGGGAGCAAUGCUUGGGUGAGAAACUGAGAGUCUAUGAAGCUCACCCCUUCAGUUCUCACCUGAGUAAGGCAGUUUUCUAAAAAGGUAUUUCUGGUGAGUUGCGGAGUGGACCUUGUACAUGAACCGUGGAGAAGGCCGUUACAACCCUGCUUCAUAUACACAUCUAAAGCUUCCCAAGACUGAGGCUCUACAAGAGGCACAGGGGCAGGAUAGAAACUUACACACACAUAGGCGAGAUUCCUUCCGCUCAAACACAAUCCAAAAACUAAGUAAGCAAAACAUGGUGGGUGUUUUAGGAACUUGUUCCUGUAACGUUGUUCCCAGGAAUGACGAAAGGGAGACAUGAACGGUCACAUGAAACGGCCUUAAUAGAAAAGCCAAUUCCACUACUACAAUGCUUAAGAUGUCGCAGGUAAAAACUCCCCUGAGAUAACUUCCUGCUAGAACCUUUACUCUUAGUGUUCCCAACAAUACAAACUUACACCGCGCUCAUUCAUAACCGUACUCUCUUCCUUGCUAGCUUUUAAGUUUCUUGAGUGCAAGAAUCAAGUCUCCGAGUCACAAGAAGACUUUGAAUAUUAAAGACAAGCCAUCAGUUUGAUUCAAAGGCCGAACGUUUAUAGUAUCGGGUAAAAGCGUGCGAGCUGGAUGAGCCAAGUUGGAUCCCUGAUCGGAGUUAAAAGGUUCAAAGUCUGCAUCCAGCAGUGAGGAUCUGCAAUCCCAUCAUGCUAUGGGGAGAUGGGAGGCUGAGACAGGAGAAUUGUCCCAAAGCUUGCAGAAGAGUGGGGCCUGGAAUAUAGAGCAAAAAAACAACUAGAGAGAUCCUUCUUUGCCAGGGGAGGAGAGAGCCAGCUUCUGAAAGCCAUCCUUCAUAUAUGCUGCAUGGCACCCUCUCUCUGCCUGUGUGGCCUCUCACGUGCACAGCAGCAACUAUGACAACAAAGAGUUUGUAGUAUCAGUGAGUGACACGACAUCCUCAGAGAAUCGGAAGUUAGGGGAAAUGCAGAUGUGCCACCGUCAUGGUGACAGGAGCAACCGCUGAUCUGGAGAUCAAUCAGUAGUAGCCAGGAAUCUCUCCUUUGAAAGAGGUUAGAGAUCAGAAGAAAAGGGCCUGUUAAGUGAGGGGGAUGUUAUGUAAGAAGAGGUCCAGUAUGCGUUCCUAAAAUCCUCCCAGUCUGAAAAACUGUGCACUAAAAGUAAUCAGACUUAAUAGGGAAAACUUGAUGGAAGCACACUUCUCGGGACAUGGGCGUUUGUAGACACAGGACUCACAAAAACAUUCACAUCCUAUUUACAACGCUGGCUCAGUGAAAUCCCAGGCUGCAGCUAUGUACCCAGAAGUCUUGACACUGCCUGUGUCCUCUGCAAGAUGUGGGUCUUGGAGUGAGGAUGUAGGUCGGGGGUAGAAGGUUCUGGGUCUGAACCUCAGCACUGGAACACAAAGAACCCACCAAGUCCAGGGAGAUGGGUAGAAGGCAAACCCGAAGACCUGAAGUGGAUCCCUGGAUUCCACAGCGGAGGAGAUAACUGAGUCCGGGAGGCUGUCCUCUGAGCCCCACAUGCACACCAUGAAAGUGUGCCCUACAUUACACACACACACACACACACACACACACACACACA